rnacentral:lncRNA from 1 species
UAACUGGUAACACCUAAAUAUUAUACUGUUUACUUGUUUUUCCCUGAAACUAGUUAGAAUUGUUAGCCAGCUUACAUCUUUUGUUCUGAGGGACACAAUUUAUAUUUUAAAUAUAUAGCUCCUUUAAGAAAAUCUAUGUAUUCUUAGGUGGAAGCUAGAGCCUGCUAGACUGUUAAACUGUCUUUGCAAGAUGACUUUGUGAGCUUCCCUCUGUAGAGACUUUUAUUUUCCAUGUGGUACUCACAGGAAGGCUUUGCAAUCACCAUCGUAUGGAGCUCGAAUUCGAAAAAUCCUGAGCUGGAUAGGCGGUGCUUCUCCACUGUGUACAGGCUGAGAUCCGGCGUUGCAGGACGGUCACCAGCCAUGGAUGCUGACCCAGGGACCUAGAAGACAGCUUCCGCGCUUCUCCAGCUCCGGCACCUACUUAUUAGAACACACGGGGUCAAAGAGGUUAAGAAACUGGAGAUCUAAGGAAUGCGGUUUGAAAAUGAACCUGCUGAAUGAUCCCUUCCAGCCACUUAUUUUUGGUUUGUUUCUAAAUCCCUCCCUGGGUAUACUACAAGGCACAGUUAUGAACAAAGAUGUUGCAGAAAAAACCUUACUCUUCAUCUGCCCUUCAAAACCAACAGUUUCCAAACGCUCAGGGACAUACCAGUUGGAUAACUUCAGGGAACCCAUUCGCAGUUAGCGGCAAAUUAAAAACUGUUUUCAGAGGAAAAGAAAAAGUGCUGCCAGGCCCAAGAGGCUUCAUAAGAGAUACGAGGACGAAAAGUUGAAGAGGCCUUGGGAGUCGCCUCUGUGUGCAGAAGAGAAACUGGAGGCCCCGGGAGGUGAAAUGGACUGCCCCGGUCAAACAGAUCAACAGUGGACGGAGUAUCGUCCCAACCCAGUGCUCCUAGAAAGGGUCAGAGUGAUGGUGGGGGCAGUAGGGAAGACACUAGCUGAGGCAGCAGAAAAAAGUUAGAAUUGCUGUCAGAGGCAACCCCUUUUAACCUGUGCCUGGAUACCGUGUCAUUUGCAAAUUUGAUAAGCUGAUGUGUGUC